UAUCCAGCCUACACCCAAGCAGGACUCGAAACCAGAGACCCACCCAGACCUACACCUUCUAAUUCAAACUACCUUUCCCUCUCACCUUCGGUCAACUUCCUCAAUGCUAAACUCCGACAACAACUAUUCUCACUCCCUAAAUUAGCACUGUGUACAAGACCGGAAGAUUACAAACUGCUACUGCUCUGGUAAGGACGAUUCCCACACUCUCUAUUGUUGGUUCUGCGUUGAUGGAAGUACGGUUGUUCCAAUGAUGGUGAAGGGAGAUGGGUAUUGCUGCUCCGUCGAUCGAUGUGCAUGAUGGAGAAGAUGGCGCGACUGUCAGAGAGGAGGACGCUUGGACGCAGGAGGUGUGACGCUCUGGGUAGGCACUAGGGGCAUGCUUCCAUUGGUAGCCUAGAACCACGACUGAGAUUUACUGGCUCUUGGCUGCAAGUUCCUCCCAUGGUUGUGGAAUGUUGGAACUGGAGACAAAACUUUAUUUCUGACGCUGGUUGUGAUCUCUGAAUCCGUUGCUGGGUUGUACUAAAAAAGAUUGGACAGGGAUAAAAUGGGGGAUCUCCGGUCUCUUUUUUUUAUGAUGUCUGCUACCUGAGUUUGGGGAUUAAGAAUCCAUGAAUUGAGUAGCUAGUUCUAGUGUUUUAAUUGUGCUAAGGAUGUAUGCCAGUUUGUUUUCCCCGCGAGGCGUCCAGAAUUGAUUGUGCUGUGAUUUUGGUAACUGUUCCUCCCAAGACGUUUCCGUUGUGGUCUCUGAUCACUGCAGCUACUGUGCCUAUUUUAGUUCCGUCUGAUAAGGCUGCAUCGAUAUUUAGCUUGAGCCAGCCCUGUGGUAGAGGUUUCCAUUUAACAGGUACUUUGCUUGUUAUGUUUGUCUCCAUUACUUUGAUGUUGAUUUCCUUUGUAUGGCUGAUAUACUCUUGUUCUAAUUUUCUUGCUUUGUUAAUGAUUAGUUCGGGGUUAGGUUCUAUAUAGUUGUACACAUGCAUAUUCCUUUCCUUUUAUAUAGACCACGUAAUGAUGCCAAUUCUGCUCCAAUUCUGAGUUGCUUCUAUCUUGCACACCCUCUUACCACUCCUAUACAUCACCUAGAGCCAGUCUCCUAUUGAUUUUACAUUCUCCUUCGAGAAGAUGCAUUGUGACUGAGAGCCAAACCACACUACUGCUCUUGUCCAAUCACAUAAAAGUAGAGCAUGUUCACUGGUCUCUUCUUCCGAAAAGCAAAUCUUGCAAAUCUUGGAAUUAGUAAGCCUUUUUUUUUUUCAAUAAAUUCGCUCUUACCGGUAUUAUAUUUUGUGUAGCCUUCUAGAUAAACAUUUUAAUUUUCUGUGGAAACUUCAUAUUCCAUAUCCCUUACCAUAGUUCCUCUAUUGAGUUGCUUGUCGAGGGGUUGUCCUUGGGUUUUUUACUUCUUCCUCUUUUUUUUGGCCGCAUAGUAUCCUAUUUUUGUUGAAUAUUCUUCAUCUUUCCUGUACGGCCAAAUAAGCUUAUUUGAAUCUGAGGUUUUGCUGAUUGGA